ACGUAGGGGGCAAGCGUUAUCCGGAUUUACUGGGUGUAAAGGGAGCGUAGACGGCAGCACAAGUCUGAAGUGAAAGCCCGGGGCUCAACCCCGGAAUGGCUUUGGAAACUGCGCGGCUAGAGUACCGGAGGGGUAAGCGGAAUUCCUAGUGUAGCGGUGAAAUGCGUAGAUAUUAGGAGGAACACCAGUGGCGAAGGCGGCUUACUGGACGGUAACUGACGUUGAGGCUCGAAAGCGUGGGGAGCAAACAG
rnacentral:rRNA from 1 species